UGGGGAAUAUUGGACAAUGGGCGAAAGCCUGAUCCAGCCAUGCCGCGUGAGUGACGAAGGCCUUAGGGUUGUAAAACUCUUUCGUCGGGGACGAUAAUGACGGUACCCGAAGAAGAAGCUCCGGCUAACUUCGUGCCAGCAGCCGCGGUAAUACGAAGGGAGCUAGCGUUGUUCGGAAUCACUGGGCGUAAAGCGCACGUAGGCGGAUAGUUAAGUCAGGGGUGAAAUCCUGGGGCUCAACCCCAGAACUGCCUUUGAUACUGGCUGUCUCGAGGUCGAGAGAGGUUGGUGGAAUUCCUAGUGUAGAGGUGAAAUUCGUAGAUAUUAGGAAGAACACCAGUGGCGAAGGCGGCCAACUGGCUCGAUACUGACGCUGAGGUGCGAGAGCGUGGGGAGCGAACAGGAUUAGAUACCCCGGUAGUCCCUGAGCGGGCUGGCAAGGCGCAU
rnacentral:rRNA from 1 species